UACGGAGGGGGCUAGCGUUGUUCGGAAUUACUGGGCGUAAAGCGCACGUAGGCGGCUUUGUAAGUUAGAGGUGAAAGCCCGGGGCUCAACUCCGGAAUUGCCUUUAAGACUGCAUCGCUAGAAUUGUGGAGAGGUAAGUGGAAUUCCGAGUGUAGAGGUGAAAUUCGUAGAUAUUCGGAAGAACACCAGUGGCGAAGGCGACUUACUGGACACAUAUUGACGCUGAGGUUCGAAAGCUCGGGGAGCAAACAGG
rnacentral:rRNA from 1 species